CGCCGCCGCCGCCGCCGCCGCCACCGCCGCCGCGCCCGGCCCCGCCCUCCGCACGAGGCCCCGCCUCACCCCGACCUCCAGGCCACGCCCCUGAGCGGCGCUCCGCCCCUUGCAGGUCCCUGUGGCGCUCGCGGUGGGGACUGGUGGUGGGUUUUUGCUCACCAGAACUGUCAACUCAGCAGUGGCAAACCUGGUUUGGCUGUAUAAAACCUGGGCUCACGGCUUCGGCGGGCAAUGAGCGCCCCUGGCUCGGUCACUUCUGCAACUGGCCAGCAGUCGUACGCCUAUCUUUGCCUUGAAACGGAAUUAAUACUUCCAACAACAGAAAAAUGGCUUGCGGGAGACACUACUGGGAAAGUAGUUCCAGUCACACGGAGUUGAUACAGGACAAACUGCCACAUGAGCAAUGAUGCUGGCCUUCACGGUACUGGGAUAUAAUAAAGUCUGCACGGAAGAAAGGAUGUUCUUCAGGUCUGGGUCCUGCUACGCAGUUUCGAACUGUUUUCUUCCAUGUGGACUUCUGUCUCUCCGGCCUGUCUGGUCUUCAUGUGUGGAAGUGUCACGUCCACAGGCAAAGGAAGAGGAGGAGAAACUUCUACUGAGACACACCUGCGUCAGAUAAAGUGAAACUUCUUCAUUCAAUGGCUGGUGGAAAGUGGGCGGGGCCAGUCUCCUCAAAGUCUGUACGUGUGAAGUACCUAGCGUUCACCAAGGGAGCCAUGCACUGGUUAGGAUGUACACGGACUCCCCAUUUUCAUUUAGACAACCGGAAAACUAGAAGGCUAGAGUGAUUGCUUGGUAAGAAGGGGAAAGACUCAAGGAGAAGGCUCAGGAAGAGGAUCAGUGUGGCUUGGGAAACGCUAAAUUUGAGACGCUCAUUAAGCAUUCAAGAAGAAAUGCUGAAAGCCGGGCGUUGGUGGCGCACGCCUUUAAUCCCAGCACUCGGGAGGCAGAGGCAGGCGGAUCUCUGUGAGUUCGAGGCCAGCCUGGUCUACAGAGCGAGUUCCAGGACAGCCUCCAAAGCCACAGAGAAACCCUGUCUCGAAAAACCAAAAAAAAAAAAAAAUGCUGAGCUGAUGUGAUAUUUGAUUCGGGAAUGAGGCGAGGCUGGGGCCUACGUCCCUUUGGUGGUGCUGUGGUGUUGGGCUCUGCCAUGGGGAAUUCUCAAUACACAGAAAGUGUGCACCUCACAGAUCUAGACAGAGGCUGGGAAGUGUGUAGAGGGGCUGCCUCUGGUGAGGGCCUUCUUGCUGAUGCACAGUUUGUGAUUGUACUUUUAAAUCUUUUGUCCUGAACAUUUCUCUUUGGUGAACAUUUCUAUAGGCCUGGUGGGUAUUCUUGUAGGGGGUGGGGCACUGCCGCCUUGAAUUUUUAUGUUGUUUAUAUUUUGGGAUGAGAUCUGGGCAGGUGGACUUCUUUUGUUAGUUCUGUGUCUGAUAUGGACAGAGCAAGCUGGGGCAGAUCCAGGAUGUGCGAGCCAGGUUGGCCUUAAAGGAGAAUGAUAGCUUAGAUGGAAUGAAGUCAGGUAGACACAGAGGGGUGGUGGUGUGUAGUUUUGGUCCAAGCCUGGAGUUUGGAGGUAGAUUAGGAGAUUGGGGAGGGCGUGUGUAAGGGAAGAUCAAAAUGACUAACUCAGCUAGACCCCAGCACAGGAUGUGCAGUAUCUGUCUGGGCAGAGAGGCUGGGGUGAUGUGGGAAGGGCCUGUAGGUUAGAGGUAGGCUGGAGCACUGAAUGGGAGUCCUGGAGAGGAUCCAUGGAGGGAAGGACAGGAACACUGUAAUAGCUAUUCCUGUCCACCAACUUAACUACAUCUGGAAUGAACUAAAACCCAAGCCGUUGUGUAUACCUGUAAGGGUUUUUCUUUUCUUUUAAUUUUAUUUUUAUUUAUUGAGCAUCGAUUAGUGUUUUGCCUAAAUGUAUGUCUGUGUGAGAGUAUCAGAUUCUUUGGAACUGGAAUUACAGAUAGUUGUGAGUUGACAGGGAAUUGAACCUUUGAGUCAUCUCUCUAGCCCCGAGGGUUUUUUUUUCCUCUUAAAUAAAUCAUGUGAAGUGAGAAGA